GCUGGGCGUAGUGUUGCAUGCCUGUAAUUCCUGGGAUUCCGGGAGGCUGAGGCAGGAGGAUCACAAGUUCAAGGCCAGCCUUAAAAACUUAGGUCCUAAGCAACUUUCUGAGACCCUGUUUCAA
rnacentral:sRNA from 1 species